rnacentral:sRNA from 1 species
AAAUGGAAACAGAGAGAUUCUCCUGGAAACCCCUGCCCCAUAAACGGCCCUCUAGAACACAGUGGGACGGAAUCCACCCACAACGCGCUUGGUUUGCAGAUGUCAAAGAAUCUGCAGAGGGUGCUACUGAAGAUCCAGCCUCAGCCAAUCACCACCUCAUUGGGUGAAAGUUCCAGGGCUCAAUCCAGGACCACACUCUUAUUGGCCAGGCAAUAAGGGGCUCCCACAGAGCUUUGAGUAACUUCUUGGUUGUGCAGUCUGCAGGCAAUGUUGGCAUUGUAAAUUCCUCCCUUGCAGCCUCCUUCAUGUGGUGAGGGGAUCACUUCAGCUGCCUGCUGUGGACAAAGAACAUCAAAUUACAGCAUCACGAGUGCUAUUGUUGCCUGUGGUGGUCUCCCUGUCCAAGCGGGACCGCUUUGCAGAGACCAGACGCAUAUCGCAGCUUGAGCUGAAAAUGCAUUUGUUGCAGCUUAGGUUGAAUUAUUUUUCGUUUACUCUUUCUUCUACACGCGCCUGAUGGAUAGUGAACCUAUUCAUCAAAAAGGUGCACUGCUCUUCUGUCUAUUGUACCGACUUAACCUCUUCCACCCAAGUCCGCAUCUGUGUGUAUCAUCAAUAAAGUUGUGUGCUUUGAUUGGCAGAAAAGA